rnacentral:rRNA from 1 species
UACGUAGGGUGCAAGCGUUAAUCGGAAUUACUGGGCGUAAAGCGUGCGCAGGCGGUUAUAUAAGACAGUUGUGAAAUCCCCGGGCUCAACCUGGGAACUGCAUCUGUGACUGUAUAGCUAGAGUACGGUAGAGGGGGAUGGAAUUCCGCGUGUAGCAGUGAAAUGCGUAGAUAUGCGGAGGAACACCGAUGGCGAAGGCAAUCCCCUGGACCUGUACUGACGCUCAUGCACCGAAAGCGUGGGGAGCAAACAGG